GAAGGUGUAUCUAGAAAGACAAAUUAGAGCUUGAAAAGUAAAGCAUUUCAUUUACAUUGAAAAGUAUAUUGUGUAAUUCAAUUUAAUUUGAUAGUAAAAAUUUAUUAAUUUUUUUUGUUUUAAAAUUUAUUUAAUAAAAUUAAUUUUAAAUUAGGUUUUUUUUUGUAUAAUAUAUAGAUCAAAUAAUUUAUAUAAUAGUUAAUUAAGUAUUGUAAAAGAAUAUUGAAAGAUAUGAAAAAAUUUUAAAUUAAAAGUAAAUUUUAUAUAUUGUACCUUGUGUAUCAGGGUUUAUUAAUUAAAAGUUAAAAAUUUAAUUUUUCUCGAAUUUAAGAGAGUUAAUUUAUUAUUUAAUUUUUUGUUUCAUAAAAAUUUAAAAUAAUAAAUUAGAAAUGAAAUGUUAUUCGUUUUUAAAUAUAUCUAGUUUUUUAAGAAAUAAAUUAAAUUUAGAUUAUUAAUAAAUAAUUAUUUAUUUAAAUAAUGAAUUAUUAUUAAUAAUUAAUAUUUUAAGGGAUAAGCUUUAAAGUAAGUUUUAUAAUAAUUUUUUAGUUUAAAAAUUAUAGGUUUAGAAAUAGUCAUUAAUUAUGAAAAUGUUAUAAUUUAUUUUAAAUUAAAAAUGAUUUUUAUUGAUUUAAGUUUUUAUUAAAAUAAUUUUUGAAAUUAUAUAAAAAUUAAAAUAAUGAUAAAAUUAGUAUAUUUAAUUGUUUAAAAUAAAUAAAUUGAAAGGUUAAAUUAAGGAACUUGGCAAAUAAAUACUCGCCUGUUUAACAAAAACAUGUCUUUUUGAAUAUAAUUUAAAGUCUAAUCUGCCCACUGAAAGGAUUUAAAGGGCCGCAGUAUU
rnacentral:rRNA from 1 species